ACCCCCGCACCGAGCGCAAAAAACUCGGGCGGGCCGCGGGCGAUUGCGACCCCGCGGAACGCGCCGCCGCCGCGAAUGAUUGGGAAGGGGGAAGGGGCCGGGGCGCGUGAGCGGCGCGUACGGGGGAGCCGAACGCGAUGCGUGGCGGGCGAGCGGUAGAUGAUGACAACCGCAAGCGGGCCGCGACAAGAUCCACGAUCCUAGGAGGCGCCGUUGGCAGCUGUUAUUUUGAACCCGAGAAGUUUCAAACUCGACAUUUAUUGAGGUUGCUUUCAACCCGAGAAGUUUCAAACUCGACACUUAUUGAGGGGCAAUUCAAUUUGUUUAUAGUGGGAGGAAGCUUGUUUUGCGGUGAUUUACUGGGAUAGUGCUGUUCAAAGUUGGGUACCUACUAUCCUGCAACCAGAGCUGUAACACCCUAAAUCACAAUUGCAUUCAGAUACAGUACAUAUAAGCAAGGAUGAAUGCAGACUGAUUGUCUCAGGCUCCGAACUGUAAAUAUGCUCAUUUCUGAAUUGAAUGCAUACUGCUAUCCUGCAUAUUUUCUGCCAUUAGCUAUUCUUACAGGGAUAAUAUGGUCCUCCUUUUUUUAAAAAAAAUGUACGGUCCUGCCUCCUGCCCCAUAUCUUGCACAGUUAGUCCAAGCGGCAUUGAUUGCCAGUCUUGUUUAUCUAUUCUUAAGUAAUUGCAAUUAUUUACCAAUUAUUUUUCUUAGGAAAGCAGUGGCAUAUUGAUGAGUUAUCAGUCUCCAUAGACAUAUCUGCUCCAUUUACCUUCUGCGUACUCCAUAUAUGGACUGUUCUUCCUCUUAAAUGGCUUCUUUUUCCAUAGCCUAUUCGUGUCAGACUACAGGGAGUAGAGUUUUGUUCUGAUAGCUUUUCACAUCCUGUUCAUGUCAGACAAGGUGAUAAUUCCCUUAUGCUAGUGGAACCUCCCAUAGUCCCAUAAUAAGGAGGAUUGGAGAAAUGAGCUGUGCGGUAAUUAAGCUGCUCAUCAUUUUUAAUUGGCCUACUGUGCCAGAAUGCCAGCCACCACUCCCUGUUAUACAUGUGGUGUUACACUUAAAGAAGAGAGGAGCAGAAUCAUGUGAAGGACAUGUGAGGCUUGGAUUCUUAGAUGAAUGGCACGAUCAUUGUGCCUGCUCUUGCAUAUCAUACAACAGAUUGCCAUAAUUCGAGGACGCCAAGGGCCACAACAAUUUUGGCAUAGGCUUACUGCUCCAAGUUAAUCGAACUAAACAGAAAGCAAACAAGCUACUUGAUGAGGAUUAGAGUAGCACAAUGGUCAUGGAUCUUAGGUCAUGUACCGGGACCUGUAAUGGUGCACUAGUUAACUAUGUAGAUUUGGGGUCUUCGAGGUAAGUAUAUGAGCUGGAAUCCAUUGGGUGGGGGGUGCAUUCCAAGCAUGUAAUACUCAUCAUAUCUUUAGAGUUGUGAGAAGGUUUGGUUGGUGUGUGAGUGUCCCUGUGAUUUGAUUUCUGUGGUGGUAGUGGAAUUAGGGAGAGCUUGGGGGUUGUUUGUCUUUGUUAAACUACAGCGUUCCACACCCCCGAUCACAGCUGUGCAGGCAUUGGUCGGACAGCUGUCGGAAGUACAGUUUGUUAACAGACGGAAAAGCUUUCUGGAGGAUCUGCUGUGCCAUGUGACGGUAGACCCUCUGGAUCCUGUCAUUUGGUCUGUGCCGGAAGUAUAAAUAAUAUGACAUGAAGACUGAAGAUCUUUUUUGGGAAGCUCCCCAAGCAUGAAGCAUCUUUCCUGGAGAUUCACAAAGCUGACUAGCUAGCAGCAGAGAUCUGGAGAUUAUUGGUGAGGUGUACAAGCAGCUGUGGGUUGCACCUAGUAGGGGAACCGGAUUGCACAAAUUAACAAACAAGAGGGACUACAGUAGAGAAAGCACAAGAGAUGAUUCCCUGCAUUUCUGAAAGGAAAAAUGUGGGUAGCAACUUGUGGGGAAGAAUGUGCUAAGGUGUUGGAUGUCGUGCAGCCAUGAGUUUUCUGAUUGCCCAAUUGAACCGGAGCUUGGGAAGAAGCGAAAGGCAUUUGAUGAGGCAACUCUCCCCCAGGUGGCGAGGAGAGCCUGCGCUCCACCUGGCCAGUGCACUGGCUGCUCUGUCAAUGCCUUUGCCUUUUUUCACGAAUGAGGUAAAAAGGAGCCCUGCGCCUGAAACUUUGAUGCUGGCAAGGCAACUAUGCGCACCGGUAUCAUGCUACCACUUACACCCUGUGAAACCUGUGAAUCUGUGAUUCAGGAACAGUCCGUUGGAGUAUAUGUAAAUGCUGCUGCACAAAUACAGCACACCGUGCAGUACCUUUUGUUUCCCUAGGGAUCAAUGAUUGGAGUCGUAGGCAUAUGGCAGGUACUUUAGGGUUUGAUUACCCCUGGACGGCGGCCUGUUUGUGCUAGAUGGUUUCCGCAGCUUGUGUUGUGCCCGGUGGCCCUGAUUCUUUAUUACCAACUCAAGAAGCAGCAUCAGAGUCCAGCAAAUCACAGCCGUAUCAGUCUACUAGCAGCAGCAUUGCAGCCAUCAGUCAGUAUACUCUAAUUCUGGAGGUGCAAGACAUUCCACUGUGCAAGGCGUAACCAUGCCUGUAUGGAAACUGGCAAUUGUUUAAUCCCCGCAGAAGCCGGUAAGCAGAUCCCAAGAGCAAGCCCCCCGCCUGCCUGUCGCAAGUACUCCUCGCUCACUCACUGCUGAGUGCUGGCUGCUCCCCCACAACCCGGUGGAGUCAGGCCAAUCCAGCGGCGUUUGCAGGUGGCCAUUCCACGCUCUCGAUGCAGCGCAGCGCUGCUAUGCCCGGCCAGCGCAGUCUGACAGUGGAGAUGAACAGUCGCAGGGCCGAGCGCCACCACCACCACCACCGCGACAGGGCCGGCCCCGCGCCCACUCCUCGCCGCGGUCGGUCCGAUGCGGCAGCGCCUUUAUGGGGAGGAGGCGAGGCUCAUCGGCCGCUACAGUUCUGGUCCUCUGGUCGGGCAGCGGCCGGUGGCAGCUUGGCUGGCCGGCCGGCCGGCGGGGGCAGCGUACUGGACAUGCCUGGGGCGGCUGGGCUGGGCGCCAACACAUUGAUGCCUCGCUCGCAGGGAGGUGGCAUUGGCAAUGAAUUGAAUUGGAGCUGAUGAUGGAUGCAUGGCCAGAUGGUGGCGCUGGCAGAUCAGACCAGAGCAGGUGCUGAUGAUUCGCGUCGUACGCCGCCGCUGCGAUCGCCGAUCGGCCUGGUUAGGGCAAUCCCACCCCGCC